CCUGUGUGCCCUUUGUCACGUAGGCUAUACGUAGGGCCCCUAGGGUCAUAGGACAACAAAAAUGUCUCUUAGUCAGGUCUCUAGGCUGUUUGUUAGACAAUUUAAGACAUCCACUGUUAGCAGGAGUCAGGGAUGGCAGCAAGAGGGUAUACCAGGAUCAAAUCUUCCAUUUGAUAUCCGCAACAAGACUAAACUGACCAUCUAUUUCGUUCUAUUCUUUGGGAGUGCUUUAACUGCUCCAUUUAUUUUAAUGAGGCGCCACCUUUUGCUGCAGUCAUCAAAGUAAAAUAAAUGUCACAUUGGGAAUAGAUAACAGUUUAUCAAGUCAAUGAUGCCAUCACUCAGCUAAGGGCAAAGAAUACUUAUAGAGCUUGAAGCAUUUCAUCUGUCAAUAAAAUGUUACAUUUCAGUUUUGUCAUAUAUCUAUUUCUCAAGUGCCAUAGUUUAUAUUGUGUCUUUAUUUAAUGUAUAAGCCAUCUGUUAGAGGUAUACAUAUGUUUGAUACUUUAUACUCUUUAUAAAAUUGGGGGUGUUUGUAUCAAAUGAAACAUUUUGUAUUAAAAAUAUAUUUUUCUA